rnacentral:rRNA from 1 species
CAAUAAGCGGAGGAAAAGAAACCAACCGGGAUUGCCUCAGUAACGGCGAGUGAAGCGGCAAGAGCUCAAAUUUGAAAUCUGGCCCCUUGGGGGUCCGAGUUGUAAUUUGCAGAGGAUGCUUCGGGUGCGGUCCCCGUCUAAGUGCCCUGGAACGGGCCGUCAUAGAGGGUGAGAAUCCCGUCUGGGAUGGGCGGCCGCGCCCGUGUGAAGCUCCUUCGACGAGUCGAGUUGUUUGGGAAUGCAGCUCUAAGUGGGUGGUAAAUUUCAUCUAAAGCUAAAUACUGGCCGGAGACCGAUAGCGCACAAGUAGAGUGAUCGAAAGAUGAAAAGCACUUUGAAAAGAGAGUUAAACAGCACGUGAAAUUGUUGAAAGGGAAGCGUUGUCCACCAGACUCGCCCGGGGGGGCUCAGCCGGCACUUGUGCCGGUGUACUCCUCCCCGGGCGGGCCAGCAUCGGUUUGGGCGGCUGGUGAAAGGCCCCGGGAAUGUAACACCCUCCGGGGUGCCUUAUAGCCCGGGGUGUCAUGCGGCCAGCCUGGACCGAGGCCCGCGCUUCGGCGAGGAUGCUGGCGUAAUGGUGGUCAACGGCCCGUCUUGAA